rnacentral:rRNA from 1 species
UUAAAUUGAAGAGUUUGAUCAUGGCUCAGAUUGAACGCUGGCGGCAGGCCUAACACAUGCAAGUCGAACGGUAACAGGAAGCAGCUUGGCUGCUUUGCUGACGAGUGGCGGACGGGUGAGUAAUGUCUGGGAAACUGCCUGAUGGAGGGGGAUAACUACUGGAAACGGGGUCUAAU